rnacentral:rRNA from 1 species
AACGAACGCUGGCGGCAGGCCUAACACAUGCAAGUCGAGCGAGCAUUUCGGUGCUAGCGGCGGACGGGUGAGUAACGCGUGGGAACGUGCACUUUUCUGCGGAAUAGUCCUGGGAAACUGGGGGUAAUACCGCAUACGCCCUUUUGGGGAAAGAUUUAUCGGAGAAGGAUCGGCCCGCGUUGGAUUAGGUAGUUGGUGGGGUAAUGGCCCACCAAGCCGACGAUCCAUAGCUGGUUUGAGAGGAUGAUCAGCCACACUGGGACUGAGACACGGCCCAGACUCCUACGGGAGGCAGCAGUGGGGAAUCUUAGACAAUGGGGGCAACCCUGAUCUAGCCAUGCCGCGUGAGUGAUGAAGGCCUUAGGGUUGUAAAGCUCUUUCAGCUGGGAAGAUAAUGACGGUACCAGCAGAAGAAGCCCCGGCUAACUCCGUG